UUUUUUUUUUUUUUCUCUCUAAAAUAUAUUUUAUUUAAAAUGACGACAGAUUUAAAUAAGAGACCAGUAAGAACGAGAAGAAAAAAAAUUAUGAAUUCGUAUUAUUAUAAUAGUGAUUACAGUAAUGAUUUAAAUAAUGAGGAAACUAAAGAAGUAAAUGUUAUGAAAAAAAGUAACACUUUAAUUAAUAAAACAAAGGAAGAACAGAAAAAAUACUGUACUUUAUAUAACAUUAAUAAUGAUACAAACAGUAAUAAUAUUAUUAGUUCUCGUUAUAAUAAUAUAAAUAAUGUAUCUACUAUUGAUUCUGUUAUGAAUGAUUUAAAUGAUAGUAAUCGUAAUAACUCAUUAACAUUUCAAGGAAAAGGAAAUGAAAUGAUAGAAGAAAAGAUUCAUAAUAAUAGUAGUACGAUAGAUGGUAAUAUAGAAGAUGGUAAUACUAUAGAUAGUAAUAUUGUAGAUGGUAAUAUUGUAGAUGGUAAUGUUAUGAAUGGUAAUGUUAUGGAUGGUAGUGUUAUAGAUUGUGGUAAUGUUGAUAGUAGUGGUAUUGAUAAUAUUAUGAAUAAUAGUAUAACAAGCGAUAGUAUGGUUAAUGAUAAUGUGGAAAAUAUAAAUAGUACUAAUUACACAAGUGAUGAUAGUAGUACAAAAAUAAAAAAUAUGAAAUCAAGUGAUAUUACAAAUAUGAAAGGAGAUAUGAAAUUAGAAAGUAAUACAAGAAUGGAAAGGAGUAAAAGUUAUAUUAGCGGAACAAAUGUUUCUAACAGUAAAACAGGUUGUAACCGUGUAAAAAAUAUAUCAAGUGGUAAUGAUACUAAUUAUGCAAAAAUGGCUGAGCAAUUACCACAUGUUGUAGGUGUUAGAUUUGACAAAUCACAAAAUAGAUGGUUGUCUGGAAUAUGUAUUAAUGGAAGAUGUAUUAAUAGAUAUUUCCCUGUUUAUAAAUAUGGAUUUGAAGAAGCUAGAAGAUUAGCAAUCCAGCAUAGAAAAAAUUUUGAAACGGCUAAUUUAGGUCAUAUAAAAAAACAACAGGGCGAAUCAAAAACAUCUCACUUGAAUUUACUUAAUAUCAAUUCAAAAAUACCAAACGGGUUUAAAGGUAAUAUAUCAAAAUGGUGAUAUAUAUUUAUACUUUUUUAUACUUUUUUAUACUUUUAUACUUUUUUUUUUUUUUUUUUUUUUUUUUUUUUUUUUUUUUUUUUUUUUUUGCAUUAAAAUGUACAGUAACAGUGAUUGUAAAUAUUACAUUGUGAAAUAUUUUACAUAUAAGUGGUAUAUGUGUAUCUAUAUAAUGACAUGAUGAAUAAAA
rnacentral:lncRNA from 1 species